GUUGACCUCAAAUCAGGUAGGG
rnacentral:rRNA from 1 species